UUUAAAACUUAAAUUCAUUCAAGAGCCAAAAAUAAAUAACUUAAACAAGACCAAAUUAAAGAACCUCAAAUUCAUAAAAAAUUAAAUUAAAAACUCAAUUAAAAAAAAAUCAAAAACUAAAAAUUUUAAAAGUUAAAAAUUUUUAAAAUUCAAAAUUCUUAAAUAGCAAAUUUUUUUGUGUCAGAAUCAAAAAAACAAAAUCCUCUAAAACUGGCAAAGAAAGAAUAUUCAAUAAUCCGAAAUCAUCUGGAAAAUCUGAAUUCGGUAUUGACAAUCCGAUUUCAUGAAAGCCAACAAAUUUUAAAUCCUCAAGUCCCUGAAUAAAAUUUCCGAAAAAUAUAAAAAAGUUUGAAUAUUAUUCAUACUGGAAGAAAUAUCCACAAUAUAGGUUCCAUGCCAGUCGCUGGUGGUUGUGGACUUAUGGAUGGUGGCGCUGAUGAGAGCGCCGAAUCUGAAUCGGAAUUCUGAUGAUGAUCCUGUUUGAAAAAAGAAAACCAGAAAAAAAAGAGAAUAAUAUUAAUUGUCUAUUUAUUGAUGAUUGAUUGAAGCUUAAGACAGGCUUAAGUAUAGAAAAAGACUCAAUCUUACCUUCGAUCUAUAGGCAUGAACAUCGUUAUGAGCUUCCAAGAUUCGUUCAGUGAAUUCAUGUGGCUUUGAAGAGAUAAAAAAAAAUAAAAAAAAAGGUUUUUAUUGUUGAACUUGAAAUUAAAUUUUUGGGCAGUGUAUGGAAAGAGGGGGAAAAGGGAGAAACAGCUGAAUGCACAACCUGAAAAACUCAUCGAUGCAAAUAAUAUGACAAAUUGACGACGUGAUUAAACUUCACCUUAAUCGGAGAGGAAUUACAAUCAAGUGGAUUGAUGGAAUUUUGGAUGAAGAGGACUUUUUAUGAAUUAAUUGCUUUGGGAAAAAAUAAAAAAUUAAAUUUUGGUUUUAUAAUGAAGAAAGUUCAUAAAAAAUUAAAAGUUGAAGAUCUUAAGUGGAUUUGGAUUGUAAUAGGAAUGGCAUAUUUAAUUGAUAUUUUCUGUUUUAUUGCAGAAAUUUGUAUUUUUAAAUUGAAAAAUGGAAGAAAUAUUGUUUAUUUAUGAAUUUUUAAGAGUUUUCAAAUAAAAUAAAUAAAAUACAAUCAUUUGUCCUUAAAAAAAGUCAAUUUUGUUUCUUUAAUAC